CGGAUUAACUCAUUCGAGGGUUACGAGGCCGCGAUUAUGUGCCACCUGCCACGAUUGCGGACGCUCGAGAGCAUUAGUUUGUAAUUAUACGCGGCUUCGCGUGAAACAGCUUAAGACGAGCGUCGGCUAAUGGCCACGGAGGCGGGUAAAUUAUUUUUACUGCUCCGCCCGCCAUCGGGAUUCUGUUAAUUAACGCUGUGCAUCCUUUGUGCACGGCCAGACCACGGUGAAAUUCAGAAACGAGGUGUACAUGUCGAAUACCACUCAAAAUGGGAACGAUAUUCUCAGCAGGCACCACAAUUUUGGGUAAAGUCUCUCUUCACUUGGAGAUAUCUCCACCUUGGUACCAACGCGUCUAACAGAGGCUAGCCACCAAGUCGUAGAAGGUGCAGGGAAGAUCUGGGAGAAAAUGGCGUACAACGCAAGGCUAAGCAGAAUAAUGCGUAAUGGACGUCAGGAAACAUUUCUAAGAUUCCAAGGGGUCUCCUUCGAUCACCCUUCAAAGCAGCCGGUUCUAAUGAACUCAUCGACAGCUUCUCAAGCUGACCCUGCCUAACGUCGUCGACCGAAUGAACAAAUUUCGUGCGUGCCUCUUGCCACGAGCAUCGGAAUGCCGUAAUAGAGGCUGUAUGCGGAAUAUCAGAACACCUACGAGAGGCCUGUUCGUCGCUGGAGCAUGGCUGGAACGACGAUCUGCUUCGAGGAACUUCGAAACGAGGGUGGAGAACGAUUUGCAAGCAUGGGCUGUUUUGGUACUCUUUGAAAAGAAAAAUAUUUAAUCCAUUCGUGUAUAUGGGAGUUAGACAGAACUGGGGACAAAUAAAGAGAGGUGAGAAUAAUUUAUAACUUUACACUAAAUUUAUGAGUGUGACUAUAAGGUGGAUGUCACAAUGAUUACGGCGGUAAGUGCAAGAAGGAAGAAAUGAAGAAAAUGUUAUAGGAAAUGUGAGUGAAUAUAAUAAUGAGCAAUGCUUUUAAAAAAGACAAUUAUUUUUAUAAAAUAAAAUUCCCAACAACUUCGUAACAAUAUAAAUAAUUUUCAGUUCCCCUCAGCCAUCCAGUGCUUCCAUACCUGGUGGAAGAAAUCGUCGAUAAAAGCGCCCGGAACCCCCAUUCGAUUUUGCCUCGUACCAUUGUUUUCAUAUCUCUAACCGUUUCCACGGCACAGCCCAGGUUCGGCGGUCCAUCCUAUACAUGAAGGGUAUUAAGCAAGGAAGAAUCGCGAAGGAUACGACGAAAAAAUGUUUAUCAGGGUUGCUUUGGAUGAUACGGGGCAACAGCGACUGGCUCACAGGAAACCCUCGAGCAUUGUGUGCGGAGUUUCCACAGGGUAGGAGGAUUCAUGAGGUAAUUCCGUGUUCGAUACACCGUGCCCGCUUAAGGCUGCGAUGUUACCUGCGUCACAUAAGCGUAAUACCGGAUAAGCCGCAAUAAUGCAGACCCACUGUGCGUGCACGCGAAAGUGGAAUGGAUCCUGCUGCUCGGAGAGAUUCAAGAGCCAAACGUCCGUGGUACAUAAUCAUCGUACCGAAACAGGGACGGGACGGCCACUCUGCCUUUACGGGCUGGGAACAAAUCCGCGAAAAGUUUUUCCUAACGGCGACGAAUCGUCGACGAAGGGUGCCGUUGAAUCGUUCAUGGGCUGUGCAGUCGGUUCGGCGCUUUGCUCGUCGAUGCGUUCAGUUCUGUUUCGGAGAGAAGAGUAAUUCGACGAGGAAAGUCGUAAAAAUUCAAGGAAAAUUAGGCAUUGUGUAGGUUUCCUUGGCGACUUUGUCACUGUUCACUGUUUCCUGAAACCUUGCUGCUUCAAAACUACCAAAUUAUAUUGGAUUUCAUGUUAACACAUUAACGACCGAUAGCGUUUGGACAUGUAUGUUCUUAAAUUUAGUAAUAUUGUUCAGUUUCAUAAUAUUAGUAUUACGCAAAAUUUAUAUUACCUAUUAGAAUCGUCUUAUGAAUUAUAUUUAUAUAAUAUUUCAUAAUUCAUAUAAUAAUGGGAGCAUACAAUAAGAUCGUACUAUCUCAAUAAUAAAUAAGAAAGUAUUGCUCGUCAUGGAAAAGAAACGAUUAAUAGGCUACCGGUCGGUAAAAUGUUAAUUUCAACAAGUAAGCCUAUGAAUAUUUUCAUAAGUACAUGUACAGUCAAUACCACAAAUAUUCGUACACUUUAUGUCUAUUGAAGAAGUUUGACUAAAUUACAUAAUAGUUUCGAUAUUAUGAAAUGAAUUUUUCAUUAUAAAUAUGUAUAUGAAUAAGCUUAUACAUGGAUGUAUAAUCCAUUUAAUCAACAAUUUAUUUGCUGAUAAUGUCGUACUGAUUAAUCAUUAUAAUCUA